UUUAAACGAUGACAAUUUCCUGAGAUAUCUCAAUUCUUCUUAGAUCUGUCAAAGGACCAAUGAAGAAACUUCUCAAUAAAACGAUUUGCACGUCAGUCUGAUAAA
rnacentral:snoRNA from 1 species